rnacentral:misc_RNA from 1 species
AGGACUACUGGGGUUUCUAAUCCUGUUUGCUCCCCACGCUUUCGUGCAUGAGCGUCAGUACUAGCCCAGGGGGCUGCCUUCGCCAUCGGUGUUCCUCCUGAUCUCUACGCAUUUCACUGCUACACCAGGAAUUCCACCCCCCUCUGCCGUACUCUAGCUUGCCAGUCACAAUCGCAGUUCCCAGGUUAAGCCCGGGGAUUUCACGACUGUCUUAACAAACCGCCUGCGCACGCUUUACGCCCAGUAAUUCCGAUUAACGCUUGCACCCUACGUAUUACCGCGGCGGCUGGCACCA